rnacentral:lncRNA from 1 species
UUUUUUAGUGGCAAUAGCCAAUAGUAAUCUUUUGUUGCGUUUCAGUAUAUCAUAAUUUGUGAUGAAAGUGCAAGAUGAUAGUUAAAUCGUAUUGACUACCCUUGUGUUUUUCUUUAUGUUGCUUGUCUGUAUAUAUGAGGUUCCUCUGCUGGAGUAUUGGGGUGGGUAGGAUGAGAUGUCUGACAAUGCCUAUAGUUAUGUAUAGCUACAUGGGUUGUUGGGUGCAUUCACCAAGGACAGGACUGCACAUUACAUGGGAAAUGAGAACAGCAGCCAUGUGGGCACUCUUUAACAACUUGUACCAAACAGGAAACAGAUUCCCACUUGGAAUGUAUGUGCAUUUAUACGUCUAUUACUUUAGUUUUGACUUUGGAAUUUAAUUGGUGGAUUCUUGUGAAUUGUUGCAAUUUAUCACUUGAUACAUAAGAAUGUAAACUUUCUCGAGGAUAGUUAACCCAAUCAAACAUGCUACAUGAAUAGGUUCAGUGACAGAAUUUAAAAUCGGG